rnacentral:lncRNA from 1 species
UUUGCGAGACGAAUCUUUUGAGCCUAAUUAGUCAAUAUUUGGAUAAUAAUUCACAAAUACAAACGAAACGCUACAGUGUCGCAUUUAUGGCAAAAUACCAAUUUGGCACCUCCCAACUUGGGAAGUAAACAAGGUUGGAAGGCUUCGGCACACCGAACAAGACGCGAACGCGACGCACGCACACCCUAAAAAUGACAUGAGAUUUCGUGAUUGGGUUCCAGUCCAACGGCUCAUCAACAGAUGCAGAGAUGCUCCAGUUCGGCACCACGCCACCGUCUUCCCUUCCCCUACCAAUCGCCCAACAAGCAGAAUCCAUGAGCCACGGCACAGAAUAUCACACGCUCAAGAAACGAAAGAACAUGUCGGAAUCACAGUUUUUUCACAACAAAAACACAGAUUGCUGGCACUAGCACUAGGAAGGUGGGCCUUGUUUAGUUAGGGAAUUUGGGAGGUGCCAAAUUCUGUUACAGCACUGUAGCACACUGUAGCGUUUCGUUUGUAUUUGUGAAUUAUUGUCCAAAUAUUGACUAAUUAGGCUCAAAAGAUUCGUCUCGCAAAGUACAACAAAACUGUGCAAUUAGUUUUUAAUUUCAUCUACAUUUAGUACUCCAUGCAUGUACCGCAAGUUUGAUGUGAUGGGGAAUCUUCUUUUUGCAUAGUGUCAAAGUUGGGAGUUGGGAGUAACUAAACAUGGCCCAAGGUAAGAGUUCGGGGCUAGCAGUUGGGAGAUCUACACGAACAGGAAGGAGGCCACCAGGAUCUUGUGUUCCUGCCCGCACAUUCCAUCGUCAUCCACGGGGGGCUGGCUGACCUGCUGAUUGAUUCUACAAAGAACACGGGAUGAAAUC